UGGGGAAUAUUGCACAAUGGAGGGAACUCUGAUGCAGCGACGCCGCGCGAACGAAGAAGGCUUUCGAGUCGUAAAGUUCUUUUAUAUGGGAAGAUAAUGACGGUACCAUAAGAAAAAGCCCCGGCUAACUACGUGCCAGCAGCCGCGGUAAUACGUAGGGGGCUAGCGUUGUCCGGAAUCACUGGGCGUAAAGGGUUCGCAGGCGGAAAUGCAAGUCAGGUGUAAAAGGCAGUAGCUUAACUACUGUAAGCAUUUGAAACUGCAUUUCUUGAGAGGAGUAGAGGUAAGUGGAAUUUUUAGUGGAGCGGUGAAAUGCAUAGAUAAAAAAAAAAAUACCGGUGGCGAAGGCGACUUACUGGGCACAUUCUGACGCUGAGAAACGAAAGCGUGGAUAGCAAAGAGG
rnacentral:rRNA from 1 species